UUUCUGGUGUUGCGUCGGGUUUUUAUCUGGGGCGGGCUGCGGAGCUGCUGUCAGUCUGGGAUGGAGGCGAUCGAAAGGUAGAGCUGCCUUCCUGUGCGCUUCCGCCAGAGCAGCUCAGCGUCCCCGGCUCUAGUGACAGAGCGAGCCAGAGGUCGCUUUGCUUCAUCUCGGUGGUGGAGAUCGUCCUCUGUUGCCGCCGCGGGCUCUGGGCUGCACCAGGAGGUGUCCAGGCCGAUGUUACACCUGUGUCUGCCAGGGGUGCUGAGCUAUGCAGGAACUUUUCUGGUCCUUUGGGCCUUUUCUGAUCUAUUGGAUGCUGAUGGAUGACAUAUGUAUCUGCUCCAGAGCCUUACCAGUGCAGAUAGCUCAUGAAGGCUGAGGCUGUUCCAACCAAAUGAUUAAAAAUCAUAGAAAUCAAGAUGAAAAAAGCUCUUAGGUCACAUAGUUCCCACAGGCACCCCUGGACCAGAACAGUGACGUUGCUGACACCAGCUGAAUGACCUCUACGAUGGCAUCUGUUAGAGGAAGAAACCUUUAGGAUCACUGAAAAUCACUUCUGAUAUGGAAAUGCUUUAUGAGAUUGGAGUGGGGAAGCCUGUGCUUUGCUCUAAUGCUGGACCACUAUGGGACGUGAUGGAGAGAUCUCCGGCAGGGUUUUCCUCUUAUGGCUCCUCCAGCCAGAUGGCUUCAAUCUACUGACCAAUUCUCUGUGCUUUGUG